rnacentral:rRNA from 1 species
AUUGAACGCUGGCGGCAUGCUUUACACAUGCAAGUCGAACGGCAGCGCGGGCUUCGGCCUGGCUGCGAGUGGCGAACGGGUGAGUAAUACAUCGGAACGUGCCCAGUAGUGGGGGAUAGCUCGGCGAAAGCCGGAGUAAUACCGCAGACGACCUGAGGGUGAAAGCGGGGGAGCGUCGGACCUCGCGCUAUGGGAGCGGCCGAUGGCAGAGUAGCUAGUUGGUGGGGUAAAGGCCUACCAAGGCGACGAUCUGUAGCUGGUCUGAGAGGACGACCAGCCACACUGGGACUGAGACACGGCCCAGACUCCUACGGGAGGCAGCAGUGGGGAAUUUUGGACAAUGGGCGAAAGCCUGAUCCAGCAAUGCCGCGUGUGUGAUGAAGGCCUUCGGGUUGUAAAGCACUUUUGGCGGGAACGAAAAGGACUGUGCCAAUACCACGGUUCGAUGACGGUACCCGCAGAAUAAGCACCGGCUAACUACGUG